rnacentral:rRNA from 1 species
AUUGAACGCUGGCGGCAGGCCUAACACAUGCAAGUCGAACGGCAGCACAGAAGAGCUUGCUCUUUGGGUGGCGAGUGGCGGACGGGUGAGUAACACGUAGGAAUCUACCCAGUAGUGGGGGGAUAACCUGGGGAAACCCAGGCUAAUACCGCAUACGCCCUGAGGGGGAAAGCGGGGGAUCUUCGGACCUCGCGCUAUUGGAUGAGCCUGCGUCGGAUUAGCUAGUUGGUGGGGUAAGGGCCCACCAAGGCGACGAUCCGUAGCUGGUCUGAGAGGAUGACCAGUCACACCGGAACUGAGACACGGUCCGGACUCCUACGGGAGGCAGCAGUGGGGAAUUUUGGACAAUGGGCGCAAGCCUGAUCCAGCCAUGCCGCGUGAGUGAAGAAGGCCUUCGGGUUGGUUAAA